UGGCAUACGGCUCAGUAACACGUAGUCAACAUGCCCAGGGGACGUGGAUAACCUCGGGAAACUGAGGAUAAACCGCGAUAGGCCAAGGUUUCUGGAAUGGACAAUGGCUGAAACCUAUAUGGCCCCUGGAUUGGACUGCGGCCGAUCAGGCUGUUGGUGAGGUAAUGGCCCACCAAACCUGUAACCGGUACGGGCUCUGAGAGGAGGAGCCCGGAGAUGGGCACUGAGACAAGGGCCCAGGCCCUAUGGGGCGCAGCAGGCGCGAAACCUCUGCAAUAGGCGAAAGCUUGACAGGGUUACUCUGAGUGAUGUCCGCUAAGGGCAUCUUUUGGCACUUCUAAAAAUAGUGUAGAAUAAGGGGUGGGCAAGUCUGGUGUCAGCCGCCGCGGUAAUACCAGCACCCCGAGUGGUCGGGACGAUUAUUGGGCCUAAAGCAUCCGUAGCCGGUUCUGCAAGUCUUCCGUUAAAUCCACCUGCUCAACAGAUGGGCUGCGGAGGAUACUACAGGGCUAGGAGGCGGGAGAGGCAAGCGGUACUCAGUGGGUAGGGGUAAAAUCCUCUGAUCCACUGAAGACCACCAGUGGCGAAGGCGGCUUGCCAGAACGCGCUCGACGGUGAGGGAUGAAAGCUGGGGGAGCAAACCGGAUUAGAUACCCGGGUAGUCCCAGCUGUAAACGAUGCAGACUCGGUGAUGGGUUGGCUUCGAGCCAACCCAGUGCCGCAGGGAAGCCGUUAAGUCUGCCGCCUGGGGAGUACGGUCGCAAGACUGAAACUUAAAGGAAUUGGCGGGGGAGCACCACAAGGGGUGAAGCCUGCGGUUCAAUUGGAGUCAACGCCGGA
rnacentral:rRNA from 1 species